AAGGACAAUUAUUCAUGGAUAGUCUGUCUUUAAAACACUUCUAUACUUGGACAAUAAAUUUAUGAGUUCAGUGACACCAUUUUAAUGAUUUUUCUUUAUUACUUGGUCCAAGUCUAUAUCUUUAAUCAA